GAUGAACGCUGGCGUCGUGCCUAAUACAUGCAAGUCGAGCGAAUGGAUUAAGAGCUUGCUCUUAUGAAGUUAGCGGCGGACGGGUGAGUAACACGUGGGUAACCUGCCCAUAAGACUGGGAUAGCUCCGGGAAACCGGGGCUAAUACCGGAUAACAUUUUGAACCGCAUGGUUCGAAAUUGAAAGGCGGCUUCGGCUGUCACUUAUGGAUGGACCCGCGUCGCAUUAGCGAGUUGGUGAGGUAACGGCUCACCAAGGCAACGAUGCGUAGCCGACCUGAGAGGGUGAUCGGCCACACUGGGACUGAGACACGGCCCAGACUCCUACGGGAGGCAGCAGUAGGGAAUCUUCCGCAAUGGACGAAAGUCUGACGGAGCAACGCCGCGUGAGUGAUGAAGGCUUUCGGGUCGUAAAACUCUGUUGUUAGGGAAGAACAAGUGCUAGUUGAAUAAGCUGGCACCUUGACGGUACCUAACCAGAAAGCCACGGCUAACUACGUGCCAGCCGCCGCGGUAA
rnacentral:rRNA from 1 species